rnacentral:piRNA from 3 species
GUGCUGGGCCCAUAACCCAGAGG